CCUCCGUCACGCCGCCCGUCCUCCGUCUUGCUGGAAUCCACAUCCGUCCCCCAGUCUGCAGCUCGGAGAACGUCUCUGAUGAGUCUUUUCACUCCUUCCAUUUCCAGAAUGUUUUCCAUCCAGCAGGAGUUUCUCUGCCCCCUGGGGCCUCCCCCAGGCUCUGAGCUGCUUCGUCUUCUCUGCAGCUGUCAGGGACGGAAGAUGCCCAGAGACCGUUCCUCUCUGUGUACGUCCGUCUGGCUCUGCCGCCACAACCCCACCUUAAGCCCCCCUGCUCUCUGGGGAACCCCACGCCAUGAGCUCCAUGGACCCCCACCCCGAGGCGUCCCCAUCCUGUCCGCUGGCCCAUCCCGUUCUAAUGUCUCCUUGGCCCUCUCCAUGAGCGGAUUCCGGCUGCAGAACACCCGCACGGCAGCGGCGCAGCUCUGUCCCGGCCGACUGCGGUCCGUGUCCCGGCUGUCCCGGCGUGGCUGCCUCAUUGCCCUCGAGCUGGGCCUCAGCAGGCGGCUUCUUCGGCAGCAGGAGAAAGGGCACUUCAGAGCCUUCCGUGCCUUCCUCAUCGUUCUCCGUCUCAAGGUCACUUGCUGCAGGAAGUCUCUGCUCCAAGCCCAGGUCAGGCGCGCAACGCGGCAAGAUGUGCUGAGGGUGUGCGGGGGUCAGUAGCAGCGGGUUUGCCGCCGGAUCGGAGAGCUGGUCACUGUCCGGGCGCUGAUCCGGGAAAUGAACCGGGCGUGGGGACGGAGCUGGAGAAAGGCACUUGCCGGAGAGCAGGCGGGGGUCCCACGGGAAUUUCAGCGGCAGGAUCUGUGGGCUCCAAGCCGGCCAGUCCCCAGGAGGGAGGGGCCGGGCUCUUUCCCACGGGCUGCCCCCGGUGGCGUUUGAGGGUGGCUCGGUUCAUGGACUCUGGUAGAGACCCUGGGUUUCCAGGGAGGCCACGCCAGCCACGGGCUCCUGCAGCACGUGGUGGGUGUGGACAGUGUCUGCCAAAGGGGCCCUGCCUCGGGGAAACCCAAGAUGUCCAGCUGGCCCUUCCACACUGGAAGUUUGACUCAGGGCAGUCAUGUCACUCACAAUUUUAAUAACUUAAAUACAUCGCUUCUAUAGGCCUUGCUGAAGGUGGGGGUGAUUCUUCAUAACCAGGACUCUAAUAACCACGACUUCAGAGAAAUGACAUUUCAAAAUAAAGAGCCGACGGAUGCCACGGGGUGAAUGUUGCGAGCCCCUCAGUGCAGGGGCUUGGACUCCCGCGAGGUGGGCAGGGCCGCCCCGCCCGAGCCUCCGCGCUCACGGCUUCCCUGCUCCUCUCCAAGGACAGAGCUGGAACUGUCCUCUCGGACAGCUGUGGUACCUGGCUGAGUGGGCCCGUCUGUACGUGACGGGCCCGUCUGUCCUGCCUCACCCUUGACAGGUCGCGAUUACCUUACCUUCUCUUUGAUCCCUUUCAGCCCCGCAGCUUAGCAUGGCUGGUGGGGCACAGGGCACAGCCUGGGGCUGGGGGCCCGUCGCCCAGCCACGUGCGGCCGUGGUCAGUGCCCGCAGUCAGUGCCGGCCCGCCGCUGUCCAGAGCCCCAGUAGCAGAAUCCCUCCGAGUUGGCCCUUGGCCGCAGCAGGGACCAGACAUGACCUCUGGCCAGACGCCUUUCUGCUCGGAUGGCUCACGUGCUGUUUCUCUUAGCACCUGCCUUCGUCCCCUCCUGGAGACUGUCUGUGCCUUGGUCAGUGCCUCCGACCAUGGUGUGGGAGGAACCCCGGGAAGCCGGUCCACACCUACCUGAGCGCAUGGCAGCCACGCUGCCUUUUUAUCCUGAGGCGCUGUCCUCCAGGUGCCCGCCUCGUAAGCGCGUGGGAGGUCACUCCUGCCUCCCCUGCUGGGCGGCCGGGGCGGUGGGGGAUGCCGGGCAUGGGCCCCAGCCCCUCACUGUCAGGAGGAAGCCACGCAAACUACUGGUUUUCUUCUCUAUCAGAGACCCGGCUUCCAGCUCUUCUGAUGUGCAGAGUCCCUAGGGAGCAUGAAAGCCCAGCCGGUGAGGGCUUCUGGGUCAGAGAGUGAAACCCGGAGCUCCUCCCGCCCCAGACCACACAUCCUGGUGGCGGAUGCAUCUGUCCGGCUUUCGGAGAGGGCGUGAGACGGUGCUCGGCGGCCGUGCUUGUGACAUAGGGAAAGCCAAGUUAUCAAAGGUCACCAGAGAGGGACCUACUUAGAUUUUAACCAGUGACAACGUGACAGAAGAGUGGACAUGACCCCACUUGUCUUUGUAGAGGGGGUGAGCAGGUGCGGGGCGCUGGGGGUCUGCGGGGUCAGGGAAUGGGCUUUACGAAGAGCGCAAAGUAGGUGAGUGGUGUGACAGGAAAACCAAUCUGUUGGCCUCUGCCCCCAGUCCCUGGUGCUGGGCCCCGCGUCCCGUGGAACUUGCAGGCAUUAUGAUCGUGGUCCUUCCGGUGAGGCCCUUACACGGCUCUUGGGGGGCUCAGCAGAGGGGCCCGGCCAGGAAUAGAAGCUUGGAGCUCUGGACCCCAUUCUCUGGGAGGGGGGUGGGCCUUGGUGGUGCAUCAGGCUGGGGUCAUGAAGCUGCACGCAAUCCCCCAACUGUGGGACUCUGGGUCCUUGCCGGUUCCGGAACACGUGGGGUGCUGGAAGGGGGUGCCCAGACCGGGUCCGGCGCUCCUUCCACACCUCGCCCUGCACCCUCCUCCUCGGCGGCCCCUCUACGUUCCCGAGUUCUCGGAGCCGCUCCAGCGAGCCACCAAACCCAGCAGGGGGUCAUGGGCACCUCCGUCUGCAGCGGCAUCGAAGACACAGAUGCGGCUGGGGUCUGACGUCGGGGAGGGGCUGCCUGGUGGGACCGAGCCCUUAACCCCUGAGGUCUGACGCCGCCUGCAGGGAGCCAGCGUCUGCACCCAGGGGAGUCGUCGGACUCCAGCCGCUGUCGCAGGACUGCUUGACGAUGGAGAGAGGACGGCCUUUCCUGGAGGCCCGCUCUGUCCUGAGGUCUGACCGCAGGGCAGCAGGGGUGAGGCUCAGCACGCUGCCCGCAGCGAUGCAGCACUGAAUGCCGUCUGUGUGUCCGGCAUGCAGAAAGAGCCGUAGUGUCGGGCGAAUGAAGCUUUUCUUGUCAGCAGAACCCAGGUCCCCAGGUGACUCACCGCCCUGGUGACAGACCCAGCCGCUGGGUCCCCAGCGCACGGCAGAGUGGGCUCCUCUCCCACAGACAUCUUCAUGGCCCCUCUGUGGGGACACCUCCUCCUCCCUGGGGGAGGACACGUGCCAUUAAUGACUGAAUGCUCGCGGCCCUUUGCCUGCCGGGACGGGGAUGGGCAGGGCCCCAGCCGAGGACCCGUCCCUUCAAGGAGCAAGUUUUCCAGUGGGGGAGGGGUAGGCCGGGAGUUCACGGUAAAGGUGCCGGAGACGGAGUCCUGGAGACCAGCGCCCGUGGCCCGCGUGCCGACGGGUUGUUGAAAGAGAAACCUUCAUGGGAAUAACACGUCCAGCCUGGCCACGUGGUCAGGGACGGCCAGGGGCCCCGGGACCUCUGCCGUGGCCAGCAUGGGUGAUGGAUGGGGUCCCCCUAGUGGGGAGAUGCGUGUCCCCCCAAAAAUACGUCCAAGUCCUGAGGCCUGGUGACCUUGUCUCUCUCUCUCAGGGGUCCAGCUUCGCCGUGCCCCAAGCUGCCUGCGCGGGAGCCCGAGUGCCGUCCCUGGGGUUGAGGAGGCUGUUUUCCAAAGCGUUUGCCUGAGCCCCCGGCUUCGAAGCUUAGCUGUCAUUUUAGGUAUUUCAGGAAUAUUUCCCUUUAGAUGUUUGGUCAAAGGCGGACGUGGGUUUGACAUUUAUCCUAGGAGAGUCCAGCAGUAUAGUUUAGGAGAUAAUCCUUGAAGAUGUCCUUCCCGCGCUCACGGACACACGUCUACUCACAGGAAGUGGUCGUUACUGCCGCGGCUGCCGCAGGAAGGGACGGCGGCAGGUUAGACUUUGAAGCUGGAGCUGCUCCGGCGCUGGAGGGCAGACUGGACCCUGAAGCCCGCGGCCCUGUUUACCGCAGCCUUUCCCCCCAGGAAUUCAUAGUCCGUGCCUGGCCUUUUUUUUAUCAGCUGGACGCCCCUCUUUGGAGAAGGAAGGAAGCUUUGUUAUUCAGAGACAGUUGGGGAGAAAGAACAAAAUUUACAUCAAAGUCCAGGUGAUUUGAUGAAUAUUCAUGUGGACAAUUUAAUCAGCGCCUGUUCAUUAUCUGCAUUUCCAUGUGAAACAGUUUCCUGGAAUAUAAAUAAAGACCCAGAGCAAUUGUUUUGACUUUCA